rnacentral:lncRNA from 1 species
ACUCACCAGGACAGGCACAGCCCACUGACAUCUUCACAUCGCCCGCCUCUGGGGGCCCAGCCGAGUCACGGUGCCCGCCCCUCGCGGGGACAGGCCGGGCAUGAGCCGCCGCCGCCGCCCGCGGCCCCCGCUGCGCUCGCCGCCGGCCCGGCCCGGCCUCGGCCCGGUGCGGGCGGCCCCUGGCUGCGGCGAGGGGCCUGUCAGGCGCGGAGCAGACAGGAAGGAAGCCAGGCAGGAAGGCGAGCGGCCUCUGCGUGUGUGCGCGCGGGUGUGAGUCCGCGGAGUGUGUGUCCGUGUGUGCGUGUGUGCGCGUGUGCGUGUGCGUGUCUGUGCGCUCCCGCCGCCGUCGCCGAGCGCCCCCCUCUCCGCCCUCGCGCUCGCGCUCCCUCGCGCCGGCGCCGGCUCCCCAGCCCAAGCCGGGCAGGGCCGGGCUUUAUUAAUAUGCUAAUUGUCCUGCUAGUGGGAGGGGAGAGCCGUGUCAAAGUGACCCGGGAGAGCGCGCAGCAAGCGACGACGUGCGUGCGCCGCGCGGCGGGCGGGCGGCGAGGGGCUGGGAGCGCUCGGGGAACGGCAUGCAUGUGACGCAGCUUUUAAAAAAGGAGACGGAGGCAGAGACCCCAGAGAGGGAGGGCGAAGGGGAGGGCUUGGAGGCGCAGCCGCGCGCUCGGUGUCCGUCCUCCGGGUGCCGCCGGAUGGGGAGUCUGGCUGAGCCGGAGCGGGAGCCGCGGCUGGGGGAGGCGGAGCCGGGGUGGGCAGUGUGGUGUAUCUCUCUCCACCCCGGGCCGCGCUCCGGGAGGGAAAAGGGACUGCAGACCCCCUGUCCGUGCUCCCUGCUGAGACGCCAGCCUUCUUCUGGAGGCCCCUUGUUUCGCGUCCCUACCCUAGGCUGGAUGGGUUUUUGCUGAGGGAGCAUGAAAUGAUGGAACGGUGCAGAGUCCAGGGAUUGAAAAGAAGGCCUGCCUAGGAAUGGAGACCCUCCCCACCAUGUGCUUAGGAUGGGGGAUAGGGGAGCUUGUACACUGUGGAGUCUCCCACCCCCAGGUUUCCCCAUCUCCACCCCCACCAGGAGCAGAGAGGACCUGACUGAAGCCAUCCACACUCACACAAGUAUUUCCUUGGCAGCAUCCCCUGCCUGAGUGCACCCCCUCCCUGCAUUCUCCCAGACAAAGGUCAGCACUAGAGGGAGUAGAGAGAACAUAAGGCAACAGAACACUGGCCCGAAAUUGUGGAUACCUAGGUUUGAACGCAAGAUUCGCUCCUCAAUACCUGAGUGAUUUGAGACAACUGACCACCCCACCUGGGACACUAGCUUUAUCCUCUGUAACCUAUGGCUUGGCCUUUUACACUUGCCGACUCAUUUACCUUUCAUGAGGACCUUUGGAAGAAGGUGCUAUUACCUCCAUUGAACAAGUAGGAAAACUGAAGUUCAGAGAUGAUAAUAAAUUUGAACUUGCCUGUAAAACACUGUUCUCCCUCUUCUUCACCUACUAGUUAAUGCUUCCUUAACACCUUAGUUCUAGCUUCACCUUCUCUGGGAAGAUUACCCUUCCCACUCCCACUGACACUAUAGCCCAGUUACCGGUAAGGAAAUACCAUCUCAGUACUGUUGA